rnacentral:lncRNA from 1 species
CUCAAUCUUUGCUGAAGGAUGGCGUGAGAGCACAGGAGGAGGCACUUAUCCAUAGCAGGUGGCUCUCCUCAGUCAGUACAGUGCAGCAGCCUUUGCAUGGAUGAUUGUCUGUCCUCUGUUGGGCCCCUUCUGAAGAGUUGGAGUUGGUUGCAAACUAUAGAAACCAUUUGGGCUGGUUUGAGCAUAAAAGGAAAUUACUGGGAGUUAUUAGGUGCUCGGUGAUUCAUUGGGAGGUCUGGCAAAAAAGAAGCUCAAGGCUAAGCUCAUAGGAACACAGCCCGGCAUCUCACACAGAAGUGGCUUGAUGAGGAUUCUACUGCCUCCACAGCUCCUGCCAUCAUCUUCAUCUGCACCAUAGAUGCUCAGAACCCAGUCUGUGUCUGCAUGUUGCUGACUUCCAAAUGAGAGCUUCAUGAGAGUGUAUUUGGUUGGUAGAACAUAGGUCCCAGACCUUCUCCCUGGGAGCUGGAAGAGAUGCUGGGAAAUUCUGCCCUGGAAAAAUAAAACUCACAAUGUGGGAAACAAAGAAAAUGUACAGCAGGGGUUUAACAGAAUGACAGGUAUCUGCUAAAGAAAAUAUUGAUUUUUUUUAAAAAAAAAAAAGACAAUUUUCCCUUUAGAGCCCCAGAAAGAUUCAGGCCUUAGAGGCACUAAGUACUAUAGAAAAUGAGGCUGAAGCAUGGGGCUGAAACUUGGUUUGGUUGAAGGUCUCUGGAAGGCAGAGCAGUUUAACCUCUAGGUUCCCUCAUCCACCCCCAUACAGCCAGACAAUUAUCCCUCCACCCUUCUGUUCUCCUCCCCUCUUCCCUUAGAAAACUUGAAGUUUAUUCUCUAGAGAAGUUCCAGGCUCAGUGACACCAGGCCAAGGUGCUGGACUGAAAACAAUUAGAUUAAGUUAAAAUCUGCUUGAUAAGUGUACAAGUAAUCUAUUUUCAAAACCUAAGAGAUGUUGUCAGCUAUCUCUAACUAUAUGCCAGCAGUAGGCCUUCUAGGAAACUGUACUAUGAUUCCAGGAAACUCGAUUGUGGGCUGGGGAAGGACAAUAAAGUGGAUUGUAUGAUCAUCUGCUUCUGUUACUGGAAAGGGAUCCUGAUCCAGACCCCAAGAGAGGGUUCUUGGAUCUUGUGCAAGAAAGAAUUCAGGAGUCCAUAAAGUGAAAGCAAGUUUAUCAGAGAAGUAAAGAAACAAAAGGAUGGCUACCCCAUAGACAGAGAGCCCUGAGGGCUGCUGGUUGGACAUUUUUAUGGUUAUUUCUUGAUCAUAUGCUAAACAAGGGGUAGAUUAUUCAUAAGUUUUCUGGGAAAGGGGAGGUUCCCAAAACUGAGGGUUCCUCCCCUUUUUAGACCAUAUAAGGUAACUUGGGUGUUGCCAUGGCAUUUGUAAACUGUCAUGGCACUGCUGAGAGUGUCUAUUAGCCUGCUAAUGCAUUAUAAUUAACGUACAAUGAGCAGUGAGGAUGACCAGAGGUCACUUUCAUCACCAUCUUGGUUUUGGCCGGCUUCUUUAUGGCAUCCUGUUUUAUCACCAGGGUCUUUAUGACCCGUAUCUUGUGAUAUCAAUCCUGCCGACCUCCUAUCUCAUCCUGUGGCUAAGAAUGUCUAACCUCCUGGGAAUGCUGCCCAGCAGGUCUCAUUCUCAUUUUACCGAGCCCCUACUCAAGAUGGAGUCGCUCUGGUUUGAACGCCUCUGACACUUCCACUCUCAAGGAAUGGUGUUUUUAUUCUCUUCUCCCCAGAAUGUACUUCUGGUCUGUCCCGCUGUUCCAUUCCACAGCAUUUUAGGAGGUUCUCAAGAGUGUCCUAAACAAGCAGAGAAGAAUGGUGAGACUUACCCAUUCCUAGUUUAAGAAAUGAGUGAAAUGGGGUCUGAGUUAUAUCACAGGUGAGCUAGACAUCCUCGAAAUAAAGAGCCAGAGUAUCAGGCAAACCUUCUAAUAGCUAAAAUGAGCGUACUUCUAUUCCUAGCUACAGUUUAGACUCCUGUGGUACAGUUGGCUUUCCCAGGCUCCCGGCGUCCAUGCUGUCUCGGCGCUAUCUCGCAGCCUGACGCCACGCGCCAUCUGCUGGCCUUGAGCUGCAUAGCUCUAGAGUAACUUCAGAGGCCACGGGGGAACAAAGAGCACUCGCCUACUUGACUGAGCUCCGACAGGCCGUCCCUCUGCUUCAGGUGUAGGCGUGAACAAGUCCAGACCACUACCUUAACAGGUAUGAGGAAAAUGAAGACUCUCCUAUUUUGGCACGUAUCUCAAAAUUGUCAUCAUUCACUUAAAGUGCAUAACCACAGAGACCUUCCUACUUAUUUUCUCUGGUGUUUUGAAGUUUUGUCAUGGGAAGAAAAUAGCGCUUCUAGAAACAUGAACUAGACUAAUUACUAAUGGAUUCUUUCUCUUACAUUUUGUACAGUGGAAUAAGGGCUAUUAAUUCAUUAAGCAGUUGGCUUGGAACCUUCUCUGACGACUCUUUGCAAAGAGAGAGAGGUCUAGAAGACUUGUGGGAAGGGAGGAAGUGGUGGUACCUGAUAUUUUCCAAUUUUCCGCAGGUCACUGAUGGGAACUUUGACCAGCAUCCUUGUUCCUCCCUCAACUUAUGGUCACCCUAAAAAAGCUAAGGCAUAGAUUUCAAAUUCUGGAGCCAGUUUUUGUAUUUAGGUCUCCAAGUACAGAGAGAAACUGGCAGACAGGGGUGGAGAAGUAUUGAGAACGAAUUCGGACACCCUGAAAGCGGAGUUCUAGAUCCAGUGUUGCCAGCAACGAGCCAAGAGACCUUUCUUCACAAGUUGAUUUACCUUUCCAUGUUUCAGUUUUCUCAUAAUUCCUGCCCUUAUUCCCUUCUCACCACCCCUGAUCCCCUCCCCUUUCCUGAUUGGGUAACAGGACAGGAAGCAGCAGAGCAUUCUAUGAAGCUUCCUCCUCAACGUCCUAGAGUAGCGGGUCUCAGUCUUCACUACACAGUCAAGUCCCAUGGUGCAUUUUUCAAACUUGCAUACCUGGCCCUUCCUGUGCUGAAUUCUGGUCUGCCCAUAAUUUGCUCCCUCCUUUCUCACUGUUUUCCUUUCUCCCUUCCUUGUUUUCUUUCCUAUCCCUUGCUGUCUCUGUUAGAACUUCUUUUUCCUGGUAUCUAGCCAAUCUCUUAACCCUGUUUUACUUUACUGUCCUAAGAUGCUGUCUUCUCAUGCCUACAUGUACUUUCUUUAAAAAAAAAACUGUUUAAAAAACAUUGUGUGGGAGGAGCCAAGAUGGCCAAAUAGGAACAGCUCCAGCCUACAGCUCCCAGCGUGAGCGAUGCAGAAGAUGGGUGAUUUCUGCAUUUCCAUCUGAGGUACCAGGUUCAUCUCACUAGGGAGUGCCAGACAGUGGGCACAGGUCAGUGGGUGCACGCACCAUGCGCGAGCCGAAGCAGGGCGAGGCUUUGCCUCUCUCAGGAAGCCCAAGGGGUCAGGGAGUUCCCUUUCCUAGUCAAAGAAAGUGGUGACAGACGGCACCUGGAAAAUCGGGUCACUCCCGAAUACUGCGCUUUUCCAACGGGCUUAAAAACUGGCGCACCGGGCCGGGCGCGGUGGCUCACGCCUGUAAUCCCAGCACUUUGGGAGGCCGAGGCGGGCGGAUCACGAGGUCAGGAGAUCGAGACCAUCCCG